rnacentral:rRNA from 1 species
UUAAAUGGCCGCAGUAUUUUGACUGUGCAAAGGUAGCAUAAUCAUUAGUUUCUUAAUUAGAAGCUGGAAUGAAAGGUUGAACGAAAAAAUAACUGUCUCUUUAUAAAUUUAUUAGAAUUUUAUUUUUAAGUUAAAAAGCUUAAAUAUUUUUAAAAGACGAGAAGACCCUAUAGAGUUUUAUAUAAUUUUUUAUAUUUAAAUUUAUUUAUUUAUUAUAUAGAUUAUAUAAUAUAUUAUAUUUAGUUGGGGUGAUUGAAAAAUUUAAUUAACUUUUUUUUUAUAAAACAUUUUUUUAUGAAUAAUUGAUCCAUUAAUAGUGAUUAAAAGAUUUAAUUACCUUAGGGAUAACAGCGUAAUUUCUUUUUAGAGUUCUAAUCAAUAAAGAAGUUUGCGACCUCGAUGUUGGAUUAAAAUAUAGUUUUGGUGUAGAAGCUAGAAUAUUAGGUCUGUUCGACCUUUAAAAUUUUACAUGAUCUGAGUUUAAACCGGUGUAAGCCAGGUUGGUUUCUAUCUUUAAAUAGUUAAAAUAUUUUAGUACGAAAGGACCAAAUAUUUAAAAAAAUUUUUUUAGUAUUGAAUAGGAUUAAAGG